UGCAUCGAUGAAGAACGCAGCGAAAUGCGAUAAGUAAUGUGAAUUGCAGAAUUCCGUGAAUCAUCGAAUCUUUGAACGCACAUUGCGCCCUCUGGUAUUCCGGGGGGCAUGCCUGUCCGAGCGUCAUUGACACCAAUCAAGCGCGGCUUGUGUGUUGGGCCCUCGUCCCCUGAAAAGGACGUGCCCGAAACGCAGCGGCGGCGUCGCGGUUAUCCGACCAGCCAGAGUGUAUGGGGCUUUGUCACGCACUCCAAGGCACAGGACCGGCGCCUGUCGACCCCUCUCAAAACGAGAUAUCAAGGUUGACCUCGGAUCAGGUAGGGAUACCCGCUGAACUUAAGCAUAUCAAUAAGCGGAGG
rnacentral:rRNA from 1 species